GCCGGGUGUGAUGGCUGGUGCCUGUAAUCCCAGCUACUCAGGAGGCUGAGGCGGGAGAAUUGCUUGAACCCAGGAGGCGGAGGUUGCAGUGAGCUGAGAUCGUGCCACUGCACUCCAGCCUGGGUGACAAAGUGAGACUCCGUCUCAG
rnacentral:SRP_RNA from 1 species